rnacentral:rRNA from 1 species
AUGGCCUCAACGACACUGCCGGCUCGCUGCCACCAAACGAAGAAACAUCAAACAAUGAAACGGAUCACAGGCCCAGCAAGAAAACAAAGUAUGACAUGGAAAGCUUGGCUCAUGAACAAAGCCGGAAGGCUCGCACUAGUCAAGUCGGUGCUGAGUGCUAUCCCAGUCCACCAGCUGCUCGCCUUUGCCCCGCCCAAGAAGACACUAAAGCAGCUCGAGAAAAUCCAGCGGGGCUUUUUGUGGGCCGGCCGCGCAGUCGCCAACGGAGGAAACUGUCAUGUCAAUUGGUGCCGCGCCUGCCGCCCCGUGGAAUAUGGUGGCCUUGGGAUCCGAGACCUGGAGCGCGCAGGCCUUGCACUACGGCUGCGAUGGAUGUGGCUCGCCCGCACGGACACGGACCGCGCGUGGCAAGGCCUUGAUCUCCAGUUCUCCAAGGAGGAGCGUGCACUGUUCUUUGCAUCCACUACUAUGAUGCUCGGCGAUGGCCGGACAACACUCUUCUAG